rnacentral:rRNA from 1 species
AGAAUCAACGCUGGCGGCGUGCCUAACACAUGCAAGUCGAACGAGAAAGUGGAGCAAUCCAUUAGUAAAGUGGCGCACGGGUGAGUAACACGUGACUAACCUACCCUUGAGUGGGGGAUAACCUAGGGAAACCUGGGCUAAUACCGCAUAAUACCUUCGGGUCAAAGGAGCAAUUCGCUUAAGGAGGGGGUCGCGGCCGAUUAGUUAGUUGGCGGGGUAAUGGCCCACCAAGACUGUGAUCGGUAUCC